UGUGCAAAUUAUAAUUUUUAGAUGAUUUUUUUUUAAAUAUCGGUAAAAGUAGUUUAUUCUAAUGAAACCAGUAAACUAAACACGAUUCAUUAUUAGUUUUCCAGCGCCACUUUUAUCCAGCGCCAAGGGG